rnacentral:rRNA from 1 species
CCUGGUGGUUAUGGCGGGGUGGCUGCACCCGUUCCCUUUCCGAACACGGCCGUGAAACGCCCUUGCGCCCAUGGUACUUCGUCUUAAGACGCGGGAGAGUAGGUCGCUGCCAGGU